UAGAGUUUGAUCCUGGCUCAGAUUGAACGCUGGCGGCAGGCCUAACACAUGCAAGUCGAACGGUAACAGAAAGAAGCUUGCUUCUUUGCUGACGAGUGGCGGACGGGUGAGUAAUGUCUGGGAAACUGCCUGAUGGAGGGGGAUAACUACUGGAAACGGUAGCUAAUACCGCAUAACGUCGCAAGACCAAAGAGGGGGACCUUCGGGCCUCUUGCCAUCGGAUGUGCCCAGAUGGGAUUAGCUAGUAGGUGGGGUAACGGCUCACCUAGGCGACGAUCCCUAGCUGGUCUGAGAGGAUGACCAGCCACACUGGAACUGAGACACGGUCCAGACUCCUACGGGAGGCAGCAGUGGGGAAUAUUGCACAAUGGGCGCAAGCCUGAUGCAGCCAUGCCGCGUGUAUGAAGAAGGCCUUCGGGUUGUAAAGUACUUUCAGCGGGGAGGAAGGGAGUAAAGUUAAUACCUUUGCUCAUUGACGUUACCCGCAGAAGAAGCACCGGCUAACUCCGUGCCAGCAGCCGCGGUAAUACGGAGGGUGCAAGCGUUAAUCGGAAUUACUGGGCGUAAAGCGCACGCAGGCGGUUUGUUAAGUCAGAUGUGAAAUCCCCGGGCUCAACCUGGGAACUGCAUCUGAUACUGGCAAGCUUGAGUCUCGUAGAGGGGGGUAGAAUUCCAGGUGUAGCGGUGAAAUGCGUAGAGAUCUGGAGGAAUACCGGUGGCGAAGGCGGCCCCCUGGACGAAGACUGACGCUCAGGUGCGAAAGCGUGGGGAGCAACAGGAUUAGAUACCCUGGUAGUCCACGCCGUAACGAUGUCGACUUGGAGGUUGUGCCCUUGAGGCGUGCUUCCCGGAGCUAACGCGUUAGUCGACCGCCUGGGGAGUACGGCCGCAAGGUUAAACUCAAAUGAAUUGACGGGGGCCC
rnacentral:rRNA from 1 species